rnacentral:rRNA from 1 species
CGUGUAGGCGGUUGGUCAAGUCUGGUGUGAAAGCCCGGGGCUCAGCUCCGGAAGGGCAUCGGAAACUAACCAGCUGGAGCGCGAUAGAGGAGGGCGGAAUUCCUGGUGUAGCGGUGAAAUGCGUAGAUAUCAGGAGGAACACCGGCGGCGAAGGCGGCCCUCUGGAUCGUUGCUGACGCUGAGACGCGAAAGCGUGGGGAGCAAACAGGAUUAGAUACCCUGGUAGUCCACGCUGUAAACUAUGGGUACUAGGUGUUCGGGGUAUUGACCCCCUGAGUGCCGCAGCUAACGCAUUAAGUACCCCGCCUGGGGACUACGGCCGCAAGGUUAAA